rnacentral:rRNA from 1 species
CACGUAGGGGGCGAGCGUUGUCCGGAUUUAUUGGGCGUAAAGAGCUCGUAGGCGGCUCGGUAAGUCAGGUGUGAAAACUCUAGGCUCAACCUAGAGACGCCACCUGAUACUGCUGUGGCUAGAGUCCGGUAGGGGAGCAUGGAAUUCCAGGUGUAGCGGUGAAAUGCGCAGAUAUCAGGAGGAACACCGGUGGCGAAGGCGGUUCUCUGGGCAUGUCCUGACGCUGAGGAGCGAAAGUGUGGGGAGCGAACAGG